CAGAAGGGCAAUUUGCCAAGCAAUUGUGUCCACUUCUAUGUUCCGCCGAACGAAAAACGAAUCCCGAUUCUCGGAGCCUCGAAUCAUCGACGAUGGCGCCACCAGGAGCAGCUAUCACCUGGUGCGCACUCACAGCAAUUUUCGUGGUCUCCCUCCUCAUACAGCCGUCCGUCUCUAUCUAUUGCGAUGAGGAUGACUGUUACGAUCUCUUAGGCGUCUCUCAAAAUGCCAAUGCCUCUGAGAUCAAGAAAGCUUAUUACAAGCUCUCUCUUAAAUAUCAUCCGGAUAAAAAUCCCGAUCCCGAGUCGAAGAAGUUGUUUGUGAAAAUUGCAAAUGCUUAUGAGAUUUUGAAAGAUGAAGCUACAAGGGAGCAGUACGAUUACGCAAUUGCACACCCGGAGGAGGUAUUCUAUAACGCAGCUAGAUACUACCAUUCUUACUAUGGCCACAAAACAGAUCCUCGGGCUGUCCUUGUGGGGCUUCUUUUGGUGCUCUCUGGAUUCCAGUAUUUAAACCAGUGGACAAGGUAUACACAGGCUAUUGAUAUGGUCAAGAAGUCACCCGCCUACAAAAAUAAGCUAAAGGCCUUGGAACUUGAACGCACUGGGGGAACGACAAUUAAGAAGAAAAGUAACAAGCAAGUAGAUAAGAAGCUACAGGAAGAGCUCAGCAAGGAACUUGAUUUGCAGAUAAAGGGUGCUGAAAAGCCCUCUGUUUGGGAACUUUUGGGCAUUCGUUUCUUGCUACUCCCUUACACCGUCGGGAAGCUUCUCUUAUGGUAUGGAUGUUGGUUCUGGAGAUACAAGGUGAAACGAGCUCCAUAUUCGUGGGAAGAUGCCUCCUAUCUAACAAGAAGAUCUCUUGGAGCACCUUCUGAUUCAUGGAGAUAUAUAGAUGAAUCAACCAAGGAAGAUCUUAUUCAGAGACGACUAUGGGAAAAAGCCAACUUGGAGAGCUAUAUGGCGGAGAUGAGGAAGGAAUCAAAACGCAGAAGAUAGAAGUUUUGUGACACAGCCUGGUGACCGUGAUUAUCCUGUACUCUAUUGCAGGAAAGCAGGCGCGAGAAUUUUUUACGGAGAGAAGCGUUUAAUAUACAAAAGAAAAGCCAAACCAUAGCACAUGGUUACAUUGGGAUUAUGAUUCAAAUAAUUGAAGUUACUUUUUAGCAAAUCUGGCUAUUCUAGCCCCACAACAAACGGCUAGAUCCGAGGCAUACAAAUACAGGACUUAACUCUUAGGAUUGCAAAUCUCCCUGGUGGAUCGUUUAGUCUGCAGCACAAUUUCUGAUGCUAAGGAUCCUCAAGAGAGACAAUAGCAGAGCAUACUUUUGUUACUUCUCAAAUUGCUGGUUUAACAUGACUGUUGAAACAAAUAUUAGUAUUCCGGAUUUCUCGUGAGAAACAUAGAGAAAUUAGAAACUCAUGAUCUAAAGGAACUCAAAGAUUUAUUUUC